GACGAACGCUGGCGGCGUGCUUAACACAUGCAAGUCGAACGGAAAGGCGCUGCUUUUGUGGGUUGCUCGAGUGGCGAACGGGUGAGUAACACGUGAGUAACCUGCCCUUGACUUUGGGAUAACUUCAGGAAACUGGGGCUAAUACCGGAUAGGAGCUCCUGCUGCAUGGUGGGGGUUGGAAAGUUUCGGCGGUUGGGGAUGGACUCGCGGCUUAUCAGCUUGUUGGUGGGGUAGUGGCUUACCAAGGCUUUGACGGGUAGCCGGCCUGAGAGGGUGACCGGCCACAUUGGGACUAAGAUACGGCCCAGACUCCUACGGGAGGCAGCAGUGGGGAGUAUUGCGCAAUAGGCGGAAGCCUGAUGCAGCAACGCCGCGUGCGGGAUGACGGCCUUCGGGUUGUAAACCGCUUUCGCCUGUGACGAAGCGUGAGUGACGGUAAUGAGUAAAGAAGCACCGGCUAACUACGUG
rnacentral:rRNA from 1 species